GCUUGCACAGAUGACGACCGGCGCACGGGUGCGUAACGCGUAUAGAACCUACCUUUUACAGAGGAAUAGCCUUUAGAAAUGAAGAUUAAUGCCUCAUGGUAUUGUAGACUGGCAUCAGUUUAUAAUUAAAGAUUUAUCGGUAAAAGAUGGCUAUGCGUCCUAUUAGUUAGUUGGUAAGGUAACGGCUUACCAAGACAGCGAUAGGUAGGGGUCCUGAGAGGGAGAUCCCCCACACUGGUACUGAGACACGGACCAGACUCCUACGGGAGGCAGCAGUGAGGAAUAUUGGACAAUGGAGGAGACUCUGAUCCAGCCAUGCCGCGUGUAGGAAGAAUGCCCUAUGGGUUGUAAACUACUUUUAUACAGGAAGAAACACUGGUAUGUAUACCAGCUUGACGGUACUGUAAGAAUAAGGACCGGCUAACUCCGUGCCAGCAGCCGCGGUAAUACGGAGGGUCCGAGCGUUAUCCGGAAUCAUUGGGUUUAAAGGGUCCGCAGGCGGUCGAUUAAGUCAGAGGUGAAAUCCCAUAGCUCAACUAUGGAACAGCCUUUGAUACUGGUUGACUUGAGUCAUAUGGAAGUAGAUAGAAUGUGUAGUGUAGCGGUGAAAUGCAUAGAUAUUACACAGAAUACCGAUUGCGAAGGCAGUCUACUACGUAUGUACUGACGCUGAGGGACGAAAGCGUGGGGAGCGAACAGGAUUAGAUACCCUGGUAGUCCACGCCGUAAACGAUGGAUACUAGUUGUUGGGAUUUAUCUCAGUGACUAAGCGAAAGUGAUAAGU
rnacentral:rRNA from 1 species